GACGAACGCUGGCGGCGUGCUUAACACAUGCAAGUCGAACGAAGUGGCGAACGGGUGAGUAACGCGUAAUCAACCUGCCCUUCAGAGGGGGACAACAGUUGGAAACGACUGCUAAUACCGCAUACUGAAGGACGGGAAUGCGUGUGAUUAGCUAGUUGGAGGGGUAACGGCCCACUAAGGUGAUGAUCAGUAGCCGGUCUGGGGGGAGGAACGGCCACAUCUGGACUGAACAACGGCCCAGACUCCUACGGGAGGCAGCAGUGGGGAAACUUCCGCAAUGGACGGAAGUCUGACGGAGCAACGCCGGGUGAGUGAUGACGGCCUUCGGGUUGGAAAGCUCUGUUAAUCGGGACGCGUUACCGGAAUAGAAAGCCACGGCUAACUACGUGCCAGCAGCCGCGGUAAUUC
rnacentral:rRNA from 1 species